GAAUUCCAUGUCAAUGAAAAGGGCUGUUGUUCUUCAGGACCUUCCGCAUUACCUCAGUGAGGAUCCAUCAGAUUUGAACUCAGCGGAGGAAACAGACAUUGAAGACCGUGUGACGGCAGGAAUGGAUGUGGACAUUUUCCUAAUGCCUGAUGGAGAUGAUGCCUUUUCAACUACUAUGUGGUGCUGGAGGAACAGAUUGUCCUGAGAGAUGUCAAAGACCUUCCUCAUGCUGUAGCUGUACUAGUCGGGCUGAUUUUUGCACAUAAUAUUGAUUACCCCAAAAAACUAUGCUACACAUUUGAAGUCAUUCAAAAGAUUUACCUUGGAGGUGAUCAAUGGUUCUGUGAAGGUGCAUGGGCUGAAAAUAGACUCUUUCACAAAACUAUGCAGUGUUCUAACUGAAAAGUGUAUGAUGUGCACCUUCUUGUUUUUGAAUUUCUGGUUAUUUUUUUUUAUUUUUUUAAUCAUGAAUAUUCAAUUAUUUUUUUCUUGAUCUGGUGCUUUAUGCAGUACCAAUGUAUGCAAAAUAUCUUGUUUGAUUUUAGACACUUACACUGUUUAUACAGUAUUAUUGUUAAUGCAGUACAUUACUGUAUGUUUGUACAGUAUUGUUGUUCUUGCAGUACAUUACUUUGUAUUUUACGCAUUAUUAUUGUUUAUGCAGUACAUCAAUCGUUGUUAAUGAAUUGAACUUGUUUUAGAGGAAAAAUAAAAUUCAAAUGAUUAAACUUAAAUUAUGUUUAUUGCACUUGUAUUAUAAAGUCCUGUCAACUUUAUCCUCAGUUAAGACAACAUCACAAUUUAAGUUAACAUAACUUAAAAUUUUAAGGCAGCAUGAACACUUUUUUAAGUUGAAACAACAUUUUUUUUUUUUUUUUUUACAGUGUAUGAGGACAGCUGGUGCCUUUUUGAACCUCUGCUUCAGUAAUUUAGAUGUUUUGGUUCAGCAAAAGUUCUGCUACUGUAUAUACAGUAAAACAUGAUAUAAAUGAAUGCUUGGAUAAAUAAUAUGUGAAUGUGUUAUUUAUAAUUAUUUUGAAUUCAUUUCACAGGUACAUUAGAGUGUAGCAGUUCCUUUAAGAAUAAACUUCCACUGAGUUUGUAGCUUGUGUUGCCCAGGCUCAGCCUGUGUCCAGCUGGAACUAAUCUGGCAUCUGUGAAUCAUCUUUAUUGACGGUCUGUGCCCACCUGGCCUUGUGUAAAACGCUAGAAAACCACAGCUCAUGUUAAAGAACAAGUGAUUUAGACUCAGAGUUUAGUUAGUGAAACUUGCUGAACAUUUAGCUUCAUAUUUUUGCUUUGCUUUUUGAUGUUUUAAAAUACAAAAGAGUUAGUGGAUUUCGGAGUACACUGAAAGCAGUUCUUAGCUGGAAGAAUACUGGAAAAUUUAAUGGUGCAAGCCAACACUGCUUGGAAAACAAGCUAGGUGUUUGCAAAUGUUUAGCAAUGAUCUUUUAGCAUUUACUUUUUAUUUUCAUUGGAUCUUGCCGACCAUAAUAAUUCAGAACCAAAAACGUAGUUCCACCUGGCUCCUUUUCAGCGUAGUAGCAGAAUGGUCAAACAACUGCUACCAUUAAUAGUUCU
ensembl:lncRNA